rnacentral:rRNA from 1 species
AGAGUUUGAUCCUGGCUCAGGAUGAACGCUAGCGGCAGGCUUAAUACAUGCAAGUCGUGGGGCAGCGCAGGUAGCAAUACUGGGCGGCGACCGGCAAACGGGUGCGGAACACGUACACAACCUUCCGAGAAGUGGGGAAUAGCCCAGAGAAAUUUGGAUUAAUACCCCGUAACAUAACGAUGUGGCAUCACAUUGUUAUUAUAGCUUCGGCGCUUCUUGAUGGGUGUGCGGCUGAUUAGAUAGUUGGCGGGGUAACGGCCCACCAAGUCUACGAUCAGUAGCUGAUGUGAGAGCAUGAUCAGCCACACGGGCACUGAGACACGGGCCCGACUCCUACGGGAGGCAGCAGUAAGGAAUAUUGGUCAAUGGACGCAAGUCUGAACCAGCCAUGCCGCGUGAAGGAUUAAGGUCCUCUGGAUUGUAAACUUCUUUUAUCUGGGACGAAAAAAGGCGAUUCUUCGUCACUUGACGGUACCAGAUGAAUAAGCACCGGCUAACUCCGUGCCAGCAGCCGCGGUAAUACGGAGGGUGCAAGCGUUAUCCGGAUUCACUGGGUUUAAAGGGUGCGUAGGCGGGCAGGUAAGUCAGUGGUGAAAUCCUAGAGCUUAACUCUAGAACUGCCAUUGAUACUAUCUGUCUUGAAUAUUGUGGAGGUAAGCGGAAUAUGUCAUGUAGCGGUGAAAUGCUUAGAUAUGACAUAGAACACCUAUUGCGAAGGCAGCUUACUACGCAUAUAUUGACGCUGAGGCACGAAAGCGUGGGGAUCAAACAGGAUUAGAUACCCUGGUAGUCCACGCCCUAAACGAUGAUUACUCGACAUUUGUGAUACACUAUAAGUGUCUGAGCGAAAGCAUUAAGUAAUCCACCUGGGAAGUACGACCGCAAGGUUGAAACUCAAAGGAAUUGACGG